GUUUUAAUAAUUUAAAUAAAAAUAUUGGUCUUGUAAACCAAAAUUAAGCUACUGCUUUUAAAACU
rnacentral:tRNA from 1 species